rnacentral:lncRNA from 1 species
GAUAUACAAAGGAAUUCAGUAUGAGGGGAGGGUCGGGAAACAUUUCACCCAGACAGAUGGUGCUUGAGCUACAUCUUAAAGGAAGAGAAGGACUCCAUGGGGUGGAGAUGAGGAUGAAGAACAUUCCAUAAAUGGGAGAGAGAGAAAGGAAGCCAGUAUGACUAGAUUGCAGCUAAAUUACACAGGCAGGUGAGUGAUGUUCAGUGAAGCUGAAAAGGUAGAUUGGACUCAGGUUGCGGAGGACUUUAAAAGGCAAACAAAGAUGCUUAUAUUUGAUUUUAGAGGCCAUCGGGAGUCACUGGAUGUAGCUGAGUAGGAGAGUCCUCUUUUCUGGAACCCAUUCAGAGGACUGGAUUCAAUUCUUGGUACUACAAUUUAAGAAGCACAUUGAUAAAUUGGAGGAGUAUCCAGGCAAUGGUUACGAGGAUGGAGGAAGAUUCUUGAGACUACGGCACAUGCUGACUAGUCCAAAGAACUAGGAAUGUUCAGCCUGGAGAAAACUCAGCAGGGACUUGGCAGCCAAAGAUCAAACUGUCUAUCUGAGUAGUGAGCUGUUCUCCCAGCAGUGAGUUCUGAAGAACUGCUCAGUAAUUUUCCUGCUCGCUGAUGAGACACCUUUCCAGCUUCUUCGAAAUCAAGAUGUUUCAAAUCUUCCAUAAAUCUCCAAGACUGAUCAGAGGGAAAGCCAGGAACAAUCAACCUCUGAGCCUCUGCCCCAGAAUGUGGAGUUAGACUCUGAACUCAGUUCAGGAGAUACAGUGGAAGACGGGAGCUUUCUUGGAGAUGAUCUUGUGGUGAGUGAUAAAGACUGACUUGCUCUCCCUUAGGCCCUUUUCUACUGCUUGGCUAUUCUCUCUCUCUCUCUCUCUCUCUCUCUCUCUCUCUCUCUCUCUCUCUCUCUCUCUCUCUCUCUCUCUCCCUCUCUCUCUCUCCUUCCCUUCAUUCCUUCAUUUAUAUUAAUUAAAAUCUCC